rnacentral:rRNA from 1 species
UACAGAGGUCUCAAGCGUUGUUCGGAUUCAUUGGGCGUAAAGGGUGCGUAGGUGGCGCCGUAAAUCAGGUGUGAAAUUUCGGAGCUCAACUCCGAAACUGCAUUUGAUACUGCGGUGCUUGAGGACUGGAGAGGAGACUGGAAUUCACGGUGUAGCAGUGAAAUGCGUAGAUAUCGUGAGGAAGACCAGUGGCGAAGGCGGGUCUCUGGACAGUUCCUGACACUGAGGCACGAAGGCCAGGGGAGCAAACGGG